CUUUGCAAAUUGGAUCUGUUUGGAGUACUCUCCCAACCCUUAACCAAGCCAUUUAUACUCUGCCUUAGCUUUCCCUUCUGGCUUGCACAGAGCCUGAGGCCACCAAGACAUGAAAGCCCAGGGUCUUCUUAUGCCUUUUCUUGUGUUUGCUUGUUUGUUUUUGUUUUGUUUUGAGACAGUCUCUCUGUCACCCAGGCUAGAGUGCAAUGGCACAAUGUCGGCUUACUGCAACCUCCCAGAUAAAGCGAUUCUUCUGCCUCAGGCUCCCUGAGUAGCUGGGAUUACAGGUGCAUGCUGCCACACCCGGUUAAUUUUUUGUAUUUUUAGUAGAGAUGGGUUUUCACCACAUUGGCCAGGCUUGUCUCAAACUCCUGACCUCAGGUGAUCCACCCCCACUUGGCCUCCCAAAAUUUCUUAGGCCUUUUCUGAGCAUGCAACUCACUAUGGGCCUGCACACAGCUUUCUUGAUUUCCUAGUUUAUGUGAAAGCUUUUAAAAGCCUCUACAGACACACACGACUUUUUCCAAACUUUUCCUUCCCAGGAUGCCUGGUCGGUCUAUUGCUUGUCCCAGGUGUUAUCCCCUGCCCCAGGGUAUUGAGGCCAGUACCUGUGUCUUUCAGUGCCUUUGUCUAAAGCCACCUGGGAAACCACCCCAGCCCUGAAAAUGCCCUCAGUAAAAAAGCUCAGAAGUCUUUCUGCUAGUCCUUGAGGAGGUCAUCAGACAGGUGGAGACCUACAACCAUAAUUUUUUUAUUUUAUGAGAUGGAGUCUUGCUCUGUCACCCAGCCUAGGGUGCAAUGGCACGAUCUUGGUUCACUGCAACCUCUGCCUCCCAGGUUCAAGUGAUUCUCCUGCCUCAGUCUCCCAAGUAGCUGGGAUUACAGGCAUGCGCCACCAUGCCUAACUAAUUUUUUUUGUAUUUUUAGUAGAGACAGGGUUUCACCAUGUUGGCCAGGUUGGUUUCAGAAUCCUGACCUCGUGAUUUGCCUGCUUCAGCCUCCCAAAGUGCUAGGAUUACAGGCAUGAACCACCACACCGGGCCCACAACCACAAUGCUUUGAGAAUUAAUUAUGUGUACUCCCUCUGCGCUAGCAACCAGCCUCAGAAGUACAGGCUGACACCCUCGUUCCCUGCUGAUCUGGAGUUGGGAGGAUGUUAGGUGGGCAAGCAAAAAUACCAUCGUACUCUCUUACCGCAAAACAGAGCCGUGUGUGUGUGUGUGUGUGUGUGUGUGUGUGUGUGUGUAUGUGUGUGUGUGUGACAGAGUUUCACUCUUUUGCCCAGGCUGGAGUGAAGUGGUUUGAGAUCGGCUCACUGCGACCUCCACCUCCCACAUUCAAGCAAUUCUCCUGCCUCAGUCUCCCAAGUAGCUGGGAUUACAGGCAUGCGCCACCAUGCCCAACUAAUUUUUGUAUUUUUAGUAGAGACAAGGUUUCACCAUGUUGGCCAGGCUGGUCUCAAACUCCUGACCUAAGGUGAUCCAACUGCCUUGGUCUCCCAAAGUACUGGGAUUACAGGCGUGAGCCACUGCGCCUGGCCAAAACUGUUUUUUAUUUUUAUUUUUUGAGACACAUUAUCUAUCUGUCAGCCAGGCUGGAGUGCAGUGACACAAAAUGGCUGACUACAGUUCGACCUCCUGGGCUCAAGCAAUCCUCUCACCUCAGCCUCCUGAGUAGCUGGGACUACAGACUCACCACACCCAGCUACUAUUAUUAUUAAUUAUUAUUAUUUUGUAGAGACAAAGUCUUGCUAUGUUGCCCAGGCUGGUUUCAAACUGACCUCAGGUGAUCCUCCCACCUUAGCCUCCCACAGUGCUGAGAUUUCAGGUGUGAGCCACCACACCCAGCCCUUAAAAACAGAUUUACUAAUGACCACAAAGGUGCUCCUGUCCACUCAGGAUCUUUUUUUAAAAAAAAAAGUUGGGUUUCUCCAUGUUGGUCAGGCUUGUCUUGAACUCCUGACCUCAGGUGAUCCGCCCACCUUGGCCUCCAAAGUGCUUGGAUUACAGGUGUGAGCCACCACGCCCGGCCGGCCUCACCCAGGAUUUUAUGUUCAUUACUGGCUCAGCACAAUCUGCAGCCCUAAUCAUCCAUUUCUUUUUUUUUCAUAACAAACACUGUUCAGGCCCCAAAGAAUGUCUCAUCUAUUGUCCUAAAAUCUCAAAACAAAAGGCAACUAUGGCCAGAUGUGGUGGCUCACACCUGUAAUCCCAGCACUUUGGGAGGCCAAGGCAGGCAGAUCAAUUGAGGUCAGGAGUUCAAGACCAGUCUGGCCAACUCCAUCUCUACUAAAAAAUACAAAAAUUAGCCAGGUGUGGUGGCGCUCAACUGUAAUCCCAGCUACUAGGGAGGCUGAGGCAGGAGAAUGGCUUGAACCAGGGAGGCGGAGGUUGCAGUGAGCCAAGAUCGUGCCACUGCACUCCAGCCUGUGGGGCACAGCAAGACUCCGUCUCCAAAAAAAAACUAUAUCUGAAUGUCAGGAAGGUUUGUGGGUUGCAGCUGCUACCAAUGUUGGAGACUCACACUGCUUCAGAGUAUGCAGAGAACUUGAGUGUUUAAACACUUAAGAGGAAGCAUAAAUCAAUUCUUUAGUUCCUCUUCUCAGGUAGCCUAAAUGCAGCAGAUUCUUGCAUAACGAGUAUCAUUUCUCAGAAGUGCUGAGAGCCCAUUUUUCUGUUUCUCCUCAUGUUCCAAAUUAUGCCUCCAAACAUACUCAUGAGUUAGAGAGUAACAUGGGUCAGGCGUGUUAGUUCAUGCCAAUAAUCCCAGCACUUUGGGAGGUUGAUGCCAGAGGAUCACUUGAAGCCGGGAGUUCAAGACCAGCCUGAGCAACAUAAUGAGACCCGCCCCCCCAUCUCUACAAAAAUUUUAAAGUUUAAAUAAAAAUAAUAAAACAUUUUAAAAGAGGCCAAUAUAGCCACUCACUGUAGCUGAGGAACAUUUAGCCAUUUAAACAAUUCAUACCACUCUCUAAUUUGUACAAAAGAUCUAGACACAGAAUGUACGAUGCAGUAGCAGUCCUUUAGGUGAGCAUUUAGACUGACAUUGACUAUUAGAACUGGGAAGAGUUAUUUAAUAAUAAUAUGCAAUAAGAUUUAAGUUUUCAAAAUAUUAAAUUUUUCAGCUUUUAUUUAGUUUUCUUUGAGACAGUAUCUCACUCUGCCGCCGAGGCUGGAGUGCACUGGUGCAAUCACACCUCACUGCAGCCUCAACCUCCCCAGGCUCAGGUGAUCCUCCCACCUCAGUGGAGCUGCGGGGCCUACAGGUGUUCACCACUACGCCUGGCUAAUUUUUGUAUUUUUUGUAGAGAUGGUAUUUCAUCAUGUUGCCCAAGCUGGUCUUGAACUCCUGGGCUCAAGUGAUCCGUCCACCGCAGUCUCCCAAAGUAGUAGGAUUAUAGGCAUGAGCCACUGUGCCACCCAAUUUUCAGCCCUAAGCACUUUUUAUUUAAAACUUUGCAAAAAUACAAAAAAUUAGCUGGGCAUGUUGGCAGGCACAUGUAGUCCCCAGCCUCCUGAGUGGCUUGGAUUAGAGGCUGUCACCACGCCCAUAAUUUUUGUAUUUUUUGUAGAGAGGGGGUUUUACCAUGUUGGCCAGGCCAGUCUCAAACUCCUGACCUCAGAUGAUCCACUUGUCUCGAACUCCGUAAGUGCUGGGAUUAUAGGCGUGAGCCAUCGCACCCAGCUGUAUCAUGCUUUGAAAGGCAUGCUUUCCCAUGGCCAUGAGAGCCAGGGAUUAUUUUUUAAAGCACAGUACCAUGCCCUUGGAGAGGUUAGAUGCUGGGGAUACACAGAUGACUAAGAGGGCGCUUGCUGUAGGGAGGCUCAGCCCAUUAGGGAUUAACAGGUUCCAAAAAGGGCCCCGACUGCUUGUUUGUGCACCCUUGUGUCCGAGUGCCUAACAUUGUCUGGACGCUGUAGACUUCUAAUAAACACUGGAUAAGACCAGGAGAAUGCAUGACGGAACACGCUAAGGGCCAGCAGAGUAGGCUGGGGUUUAAAUAUAUUCAAAUGCUGAUUUGACCACUUCCCAGCCUAUUGGACAAAUGGCUUUACAAUUCUGUGCCUCACUUUUUUUCACCUGAAUAACUAGAGCUGGGCCAGGCAUGGUGGCUCACGCCUGCAAUCCCAGGACUUUGGGAGGCUAAGGGGGGCAGAUUACCUGAGGUCAGGAGUUCAAGACCAGCCUGGCCAACAUGAUGAAACCCUGUCUCUUCUAAAAAUACAGAAAAAUUAGCUAGGCGUAGUGGUAUGUGCUGGUAGUCUCAGCUACUCAGGAGGCUGAGGCAUGAGAAUCACUUGAACUUGGGAGGUGAAGGUUGCAGUGACCUGAGAUCACACCACUGCAUUCCAGCCUGGGUGACAGAACAAGACUUUGUCUCAAAAAAACUGGAGCUGCUAAUUGUACCCAUGAUGCAGAACUCUUAAGAUUAAAUAAUGUGUUAACGCUCUUAGCUCCAUGCCUGGCAAGCACUAACCACCAUUAGUUUCAUUAAUACAGUCACACUUUUAGGAGAAAGAUAAAGUAUAACACAUGUUCCUUUUGGAGGAAGAUAAAUGGAAGUGACUUGACUCUUGGCAACAUCUUUGGAGAGAAAAAGGCAUUCCAGAUGGGAUGAACCAUGCAUGAAGGCUGAAGUGGAGCAUGUAUGGAGUCCACUGAGGAUCUGGGAUUGGAACUGAAAGUGAACUUCCUAACCUGGGGUGAAGUUGCCUUCUCAGAUGUUGGUCUAGACCCAGAUUCCAACUCUGCCUUGCCCAGAGACUCUUCACCCUCAGAUGAACCGCCUUUCUAAUUAGUUUUCUGAGUCGACAUCCGACUUAUUGAUUCCCAGUGCUGGGAUCCGAGCAACCCACUGUGGCAGCCUAAAUAGCAGCGAUAAGACUGAUGGUGCUCUUCUGCCCGGGAAUCUCUGGUCUGGCUUCCCUCUUGAGUCCGCAACAAGCGGCUCUGACUUCCCGGAGCUCCAAACUCCGGUCAGUAGGGGAAGCAGUCCCGUUGGCUCUGCAUGAAGAGCUGCUCCGCCGAGACGCCGGCAAAACCGCUGCGGUGGCCACAAGAGUCGCGCUGGCGACCCGUGGGGCUCCUCCACUGGGAAUCGGCUAAUCGGUGAGUGACGAAAAUUCGUCUAAUGAUGUGGCGUCGUCUCCUUCUCUGAGCUUUCACUGGGAGCUACAAUCCUGAGCUGUUAGUGGUCGGCCAUCUUGGAUCGAUCUCCCCUGGGUCUUAUUAUAAAGCCACUUAAAGGAUCUAAGAAACAUGGGCUAAGGUCAUCUGCUUCCUUGCCAACAUAAAGAACAAGUGAAAUCCACCAACCACACGACUCACUUUCCCUAUCGUAUUUCUCCAACUCCUGACCACUUCUAAGGAACACAGGAUCCCCACAAAAUGGUGACAACAAAUGAAGCCAUUGCCAUAUCCUAUUUUAUUUUUGAAGUCAGUGUCCAGAAACUGACAAUUCACUCAAUCAACAUGUAACUGACUAAGGUAUCCCUAGGUGCCAGGCUAGCAGGCUAGGGACCAGAGACACAGUGGUACAAGUCACAGCCCUGACCCAAGAGCUUACACCUUUGGCCUAAGAAAAUCCUUCUGGACUUUUACCCAUGCCUGUGACUGUCAUGUGCCAAGUGUGCUUUAUACAAUCUUAUUUUUCUCUCAACUCGGGUACAGAUUUUCCAUCAUUCCCAUUAGAUAGGGACGUUGAGGCUACUGAGUGGUAAAGGAAACCUGAAUUCUGGUGCUGGACUGCCAAACCCAUGUUAAUUACUCACAGCCUCCCAAACAUGCCUCUCAACUCACUUCUCACAAAUGCAGGCCGUUAUCUGCCCCAUCUCCAGGGCCAUUCUAACAUUCGUAGCUACUUCCCACAUCUUACAGAGGUUGACCCAUGCCCCUUGGUAAGGUAGCUUCUCUCCCCUCUGUAUACCACCUGGAUAGCCAAGGGCAGAGCAGAGACUGGGGGACAGGCCCAAGUGCCAGGUCACCACUCACUACCUCCUGUGAUCUAGAGUGCUCACCACUUCAAUGGGCACCUGCAAGUGGCACCAGAUCCUCUUGGAACAAUUCCUAAGUCUGGGCACAGUGGCUCACACCUGCAAUCCCAGGCCUUUUGGAGGCCAAGGUGGGUGGAUUACCUGAAGUCAGGAGUUCAAGACCAGCCUGGCCAACAUGGUGAAACCCCAUCUCUACUAAAAGUACAAAAAUUAGCUGAACGCGGUGGCACAUACCUGUAAUCCCAGCUACUCAAGAGGCUGAGGCACAAGAAUUGCUUGAACCCAGGAGGCAGCGGUUGUAGUGACCUGAGAUCAGCCACUGCACUCCAGCCCAGGCAACAGCAAGACUGUCUUUGCCUGUAAUCCCAGCACUUUGGGAGGCCAAGGCGGAAGGAUCACUUGAGGCCAGGAGUUCAAGACAAGCCUAGGCAAGACGGCAAAACCCCAUCUCUACUAAAAUUAGCCGGGUGUGGCAACACACACCUAUAAUCCCAGCUACUCGGGCAGCUGAGGCAGACAAUCAUUUGAACCUGGGAGGCAGAGGCUGCAGUGAGCUAAGAUCGUACCACUGCACUCCAUCUAGCCUAAGGAACAGAGUGAGUCUCUGUCUCAAAAAAAAAAAAAAAACCUAACUAAAAUAUUUAGUGACAAGUACCUGGUUUUGGCAGACAGCAGGAGUGACUGUUUUCUUAUGCGUAUUGAUUUCAUAAGAACUUUUUCCCCCAGGGCACUCCUCUAUAAAGCAGUCAUACAGCAGUUUCCCAAACCUGAAUCCCAACCUGGACUCAACUGCCCAGGGCCAGACACACCUGCCUCUGGCAAGCCAGGAGGGUUAUGGUGUGGUAUCACAGGCUGUAUUAGUCACUUCAGGGAACAGCAUUCACCAAUAAACAAAGCAAAUGCGGGCUGCUGCAGAAGCUCUGGCUACAUUGCUGUAAAGGCUGAAAACGACCAAGUAGAAGCACCAGAGUCCAUGAGGCAUUUUAUUUGUAAAUAUAUGUAUCACAUCCCUAGAAAAAGAAUCCCAGGAUUUUCCCUCCUGUGUGUUUUCGUCUUGCUUCUUCAUGGUCCAUGAUGCCAGCUGAGGUUGUCAAUACAAUGAAACUACGGAGUAGAAAAAGAAAAUGCUGGUGAGUUAAUAAUUCAAUAUAGAGCUGCUUUCUGGUGCAGAAAAACAUCAACACUCAUCAGUAGUUAAGGACGCCUUCCUGUGGGGCACACAGCAACAGAGAGUGUCUAUAAUGUAGCGUAUGAGCACUAUCUGCAACCCAGUGACCCCAGCCACACACUCACACAGCCCUGACUUCUGCAAACACCAUGAAACAAACAUGAUUGAAAACAAAAGGUGGGAACUCCUUUAACCUCAAAUGUCACUUUCUGCUCUCAGAUAAGGAGACUUCAAAGUAUUCACAUAAACUUGAAUCUAAAUUGUGUUUCUACCAGGCACUGUGUAAUAGAUAAGCUAUUAUAUGAAGACAUGUUCAGGUGUACAGUGAGUGGCUGCUUCAUGAGUUACCAUGGGGAUCAAUGUAACAAGCAUAUAGUAUGCAAAUAUGAGGCAUUGAAAUCAGUAACAUAAUUACAAAGAGAUAGAUUUUUCUUCUUUUUUUUGAAAUGGAGUCUCUCUGUAGCCCAGGCUGGAGUGCAGUGGCGAGAUCUCGGCUCACUGCAACCUCCACACCUCUGGGUCCAAGUUCAAGCAAUUCUCCUACCUCAGCCUCCCAAGUAGCUGGGAUUACAGGCACGAGCCACCAUGCCCAGCUACUUUUUGUAUUUUUUAGUAGAGACAGGAUUUCACCAUGUUGGCCAGUCUGGUCUUGAACUCCUGACCUCCCAAACUGCUGAUCCACCCACCUUGGCCUCCUAAACUGCUGGGAUUACAGGCGUGAGCCACCACGCCCAGCCGAGAUAUGAUUUUUCUAAGAGAACACUGUACCUGUAAUACAGCAACCAUGAAGUGAGAAUACAUUCAACCAAGACACCAAACGCCUAAUUUGGAGGAUAUAAAUUCUUUUUUUUUUUUUUGAGACAGUCUUGCUCUGUUGCCAGGCACCAGGCUGGAGGGCAGUGGCACAAUCUUGGCUCACUGCAACCUCUGCUUCCCGGGUUCAAGCAAUUCUCCUGCCUCAGCCUCCUGAGUAGCUGGGACUACAGGCAUGUGCCAUCACACCCAGCUAAUUUUUGUAUUUUAGUAGAGACGGGGUUUCACCAUGUUGGUCGGGAUGGUCUCAAUCUCUUGACCCUGUGAUCCACCCGCCUCGGCCUCCCAGAGUGCUGGGAUUACAGGCAUCAACCACCGUGCCCAACCCGGAGGGCAUAAAUUCUUAACCACAAACAUACGAAUUUACUGUGCCAGCUCAUGAAGUGCUUUACCAAAAUUAAAUCAGAUGAUAAAGAGAGGAACUAUUACUACUUUUACAGAUGAAGAAAUCAAGGCUAUGAUUUGCCCAAAAUCUCAUGGCUUUAAAGCAGAAAAACAAGGAUUUGAACUCAGACAGGCUCUUAGGGACAAAGAUUCCCAAAGUAAGUUUUCCCAAAGGCCUAGGCUUCAGAAGUGAUUCUGGCUGAGUCUGGGAUCACAGGGAACACACAGUAUGAACUAUCUGCAGUGAGCCAAAAGGCCAGACAUGAAAGUGGACACGACCCUCCCCUUCUGCCAGUCCAAGUUCUCAUGCGCCUCUCAGAACCUGAAGCCCAACACACGGUAUGUGGCAAAUGGCCAGGCACAGUGGCAGGUGCCUGUAUUCUGAAAUCCUCAAGUGGCUGAGCAGGGAGGACUGCCUGGGGCUAGGAAGUCAAGGCUGUAGUGUGUUAUGACCACACCUGUGAACAGCCACUCCACCCAAGCCUGGGAAACAAAGUGAAACCCUUUUAAAGAGAGAGAAAAGAAAUACUGAUGAACACUUGAGCUAAUUCUUAGGUCAAACUGGUUGAGAAUAGACAAUAGUGAGAAUAGAGACUACUACUGCUUUGCUUUAAAAAGAGAAAAAAGAAAAAACCUCAAGUCAAACUGCAUCACAGCAACUCUUAGCAUUAACUUUUUUUAAUUAAGGAAAGGCCAACUUACCCAAACUGGCGGGACGGAAGCAGAUUAUUCUGCCAUUUUUCUAGAUCUUUGAGUUGCACAUCAAAUCUGGGGCUGAUCACACCACACUGUAAAAUAACAGCAAAUAAAUAUUGUUCACUUUACCAGUAACAGAAAAACUUAGUAACACAAGAUGGUAUUCAUAAAUGAACAGACCUCCAAACCAAACCCCAACAUUCAGAUGGGUACCUAUUCUGUGCACAAUCCUUGACAUGCUUUUCAAAAAAUACACUUAAGAAAGACUAUGCCGGCCUACGAGAAAAAGUAAAGGCAUGAAAAGAUGGGACAAGGUAAAACACGGCAGUGUCAGGCCACUGGCGCACUCCUGGGGGCUGGAGAGCUGUCCAGAAUAAUCAGAUUUUACACAGCUAAGAGAUCAAGUCUUAGACAAGGGAGACUAUAGCCUACCCUUUCUCUCCUUUUUUGAGACGGAGUCUCGCUCUGUCCCCCAGGCUGGAGUGUGGUGGUGCCAUCUCAGCUCACUCCAACCUCCACAGCCCAGGUUCAAGCAAGUCUCUUGCCUCAGCCUUCUGAGUAGCUGGGACUGCAGGUGUGUGCCACCAGACCCAGCUAUUUUUUUUUUUUUUUUUUGUAUUUUUAGUAGAAACAGGGUUUCACCAUGUUGGCCAGGAUGGCCUCAAUCUCUUCACCUAGUGAUCCACCCGCGCUGGCCUCCUAAAGUGCUGGGAUUACAGGCGUAACCCACAACACCUGGCCAAUAGCCAACCCUUUUUUACAUAGUAAGGCUAAAAUAAAAUCUUAGGGUCUCAAAUCCUGAAGCUCCUAAGCUAAAACUGCAAAUUCUUAGAAUAUCUAAAGAACACGCUAUACACGCACUGAACUAAGAACGCUGCUUCCACCAAUGAAGUACAAUUACACUUUUCCAAGGAACAAUGUCCUACAACCCCAGGCAAAUUUCUCAAAUGAAUCUGACAAAAUGAUGGAAGGCAGAAAGAGCAAAGGGCUUGCAAUUAUCUCAUCUUAUCACUACUUGUGUCCAGACACAGCAACAAUGAUCCUCCUAAGUGAGAGCUCUCCAAGAGCUCUGUCAUCACUCAAUUAUAUGCCAGCCCUAUAACACUACAUCUUCCAACAAAGCCCACUAACUGAAAACCCUCUGUUCACAAAAUCUGCUCUACAAUCACAGGCAUACUUAAAGGCACUUCCAAAAGCAGAGACUGACCCACAGAAACUGAAAAUGUGCUUGUCAAAAAGGCCCAACUGCUUUACACCAGGAAGCCUGCUUAAGUUCUCCUACCAUUACCCCAUCAGCUAUGCUGUGACUUGAUUAACAAGGACAGUCUCACAGCGGAUGAAAGAAAUGCAGGGAUAGGAAUACGGGAAAACUAGUUUUAUCCAAGCAAGCUAUAUAGCGAAAGAUCUCUCCAAAGUCUGCCACAUGCUGCGUCCAAGUUUUAUGUUGAUUCCAGCAGCAAAAAUCCCUCUAAUUCUGAUAGAAUUAAAAUAGCAUUAUAAUCCCAGCACUUUGGGGGGCUGAGGCAGGUGGAUCAUGAGGUCACAAGAUCAAGACCAUCCUGGUCAAUAUGGUGAAAUCCCAUCUCUACCAAAAAAAAUUUAAAAAUUAGCUGGGCAGAGGUGCACGCCUGUAGUCCCAGCUACUCGGGAGGCUGAGCCAGGAGAAUCGCUUGAACCCAGGAGGCGGAGGUUGUGGUGAGCUGAGAUCACACCAUUGCACUCCAGCCUGGGUAACAGGAGCGAAACUCCGACUCAAAAAAAAAAAACCCAGCAUAACCCUCCCAACACAGAGAAUCCUAAGAGGAUGUGAUCAAGGCCAAAAUUUUAAUAAAUCUAGUCUUUACACAUUAUCUUAUUUCCAAGCUCAAUUUCCACACUAAGGGUAGGUCCAUGUCUUGGAUGAAAGCAAUGGAGGCAGACAUUCUCUUAUAAAUUGAGAGAAACUGACUCCUGAGAAACAAAAAUUGUUUGCUUUGCCCAAAGUCAAAGAGCAGGCCAGGUGCCAUGGAUCAUCUGAGGCUAUGAGUUCGACACCAGCCUGGCCAAUGUGGUGAAUCCCGGUCUUUACUAAAAAUGUAACAGCUAGCCAGGUGUGGUGGUGCACACCUGUUACUAGGGAGGCUGAGGCAGGAGAAUCACUUUUACCUAGGACACGGAAGCUGCAGUGGCCAAGAUGAUGCCACUGCACUCCAGCCUGGGUGACAGAGCAAGACUCCAUUAAAAAAAAAAGGCACAGAGCAGCAGGGCCUGUAUAUCAACUGUUGUAGGCUACAAUUUCUCAAAUUAGUGUACCACAGAACAAGAGUGCCACAAAUAAGUUCCAUUUACAGAAUGCUCUGUUCAAAUUUACUUCUUGGCUGGGCCUAGUGACUCACACCUGUAAUCGCAGCACUCUGGGAAGCUGAGGUGGGAGAAUCACUUGAACCUACGAGUUCAAGACAAACCUAAGCAACAUAGAAAGAUCCCACCUCUACAAAAAAGCUAUAAAAAAUUUAGCAGUCACCGGGCAUGGUGGCUCACACCUGUAAUCCAGUACUUUGGGAGGCCAAGCAAGGCAGGUGGAUCACCUGAACUCAGGAGUUCAAUACCAGCCUGACCAACAUGAAACCCUGUCUCUACUAAAGAUACAAAAAUUAGCCAGGUGCGGUGUCACAUGCCUGUGAUCCUAGCUACUUGGAAGGCUGAGACAGUAGAAUCACUUGAACUCAGGAGGUAGAGGCUGCAGUGAGCCAAGAUGGCACCGCUGCACUCCAGCCUGGGCCAGAGCAACUGUCUCCAAAUAUAAACUAAUAAAAACAAAUCAAUCCUACUUUGAUGUGGGGUUCUAAUGGCUACAACUACAACAAAACAUGACAUACCAAAAAAUUACCCUUGCAAGUUCUUCAAAUCUUAUGGAGUUUUGCUCUGUCACCCAGGCGGGAGUACGGUGGCUUGGUCUUGGUUCACUGCAACCUCUGCCUCCCAAGUUCAAGCAAUCCUCCUGCCUCAGCCUCCCAAGUAGCUGGAAUUACAGUGGCCCGCCACGACACCCCGCUAAUUUUGUAUUUUAGUAGAGAUGGGGUUUCACCAUGCUGCCCAGGCUGGUCUCAAACUCCAGCCCUCGUGAUCCACCUGCCUCGACCUCCCGAAUUGCUGGGAUUACAGGUGUGAGCCACUGUACCAGGCCAAUUCUUCAAAACUUUAUGAAUACUUCAGCAACUCACUUUCUGGGUAGCCUUCCCCCCUGAUCUGUUGGACUAGACAAAGGGGUGUCCAAGGGAGAGAAUACAGUCCUGGGCUCUUAAUUUCUGUUUCUAGUUUAGCCAGUAAGGCCCCUUCCUCAUCCCUUUUCUAUUUAUCAUUAGAGACAGAAACUUUACCAUGGUUUCAUACUGCUAAAAGCCUAAAACAAAACACAACAACAAAAUAAGGCAGGCUGGACAAGCCUGGACUAGAGGGAACUGACUCCUUGCAAAUCUGAAAGCUAUAAGCUUGAACAGAGGAAGCACAGUGGACCCCUCAACUAGCUUACAGACACCUGACCCCAAAACACACUCAAUCACUUAAACCACAAAGUCAGUUAAGGUGUUGACAAGUCAAAUUGAAAAGCAGCACAGACCCCAAACACCAAUGCCAGCAAAACCAGAAAAAGUAUUAGUAGUGCUAUGUAGAAAGCCCCAUUAACUCAAAGAUAAAAAGAUUCAGUUCAAAACACCCAACAUGUCACUGAGAGGAAGGAUGCAACAUCUUGGACAAAAGGCUCAGUGGCCUUGAGCCACCCAAGUUCAAGCCAGUGAGGUAGGUAUGUUAACAUCCAGUACCAGCACUGAUUGGUUUCACCCCGUCCCCCCUGCGACAGCUUAUACCCCAUGAAAACAGUAGGUCAACUGACAUAAUUCUAGCAGUCAACCCAGGAGAACAAAUGAAGGUAUAUGGAUAAAGUAUGGCACCACUAUUCAGUAUAUACACAACAGUAUGCCACACUAAAAAACUCUUAAGGCUUUGAAAUGUGUGUAGAUCACUAAAUCUUACCUUGUUUAGCCUGCCUGUGAGGUUCACAACAAUUUUCCCAGCUCUGUGAUCAUCAAUGAUUUCAAAUUCGCCAAUGUAACCUGCAAAAAAUAACUGGAUUAAAUACAAGACCAACUUGAGAGCUAAAUCUUUGUGCUCCUCUAACCUACUCAAUUCUUCACUCUCUCAUCACCUCAGUGACUGCUUCUCCAAGAAGCUGGGGGGAAGACAGUUGCUCUGUAUCAGAAUUUUCACAACCUAAUAUAAAACAUUUAGGAGACAAUACCCAAAACAAUCCACCUUGCAAUUCUAAAAGAAAUUAUUUACCCCUUGCCCCUUCCUUCACUCUUUCCCACUCCCAAAGGCUACUUUAUGCCAAAGAUGUGAAUAAUCCAAUCUUUCUUCUCCUUCCCAAAGGGUCCUGAAAAGAGCUCAGGAGUCUCACACUGUCCCCCAGGCUGGAGUGCAGUGGCCAGUGUCAGCUCGAUGAAACCUCCACCUGCUGGGUUCAAGCAAUUCUCCCUGCCUCGGCCUCCCAAAUAGCUGGGAUUACAGGCACCUGCCACUACACCUGGCUUUUUUUUUUUUUUCCUUAAGUAGAUAUGGAGUUUGCCAUGCUGGCCAGGCUGGUCCUGAACUGAGCCCAGGAGUCCUUUCAAUGACUCGGGUUCAGUUAGCUCUCAAACACCUAGCAGGGCCCCUUUUCCCAGCAGUCCUACCCUAAGUGACUCUUUAGGAGUUUGCAUUCGUUCUCAGGUACAAGAGACAUAUACUUUGGUCUCUCAAAAUUUCUACAGGACUAAUUUUUCUUUUUUCUAAAUUUGUUCUUCUUGCCUAUUCUGGAGGGCAAUGGGGCAAUCUUGGCUCACUGCAACCUCCACCUCCCAGGUUCAAGAGAUUCUCUUGCCUCAGCCUCCCAAGUAGCUGGGAUUACAGGAGUGCGCCACCAUACCCAGCUAAUUUUGUAUUUUUAGUAGAGAUGGGGUGUCUCCGUGUUAGCCUGGUCUCGGCCUCCCAAAGUACUGGGAUUACAGGCAUGACCCACCACGCCUGGCCUAGGGCUGAUUUCUUAAGAGUCUCACAUUAAAACAUAAAACACAGCGGCAGCACACUUACCAUGCUUCAUCAUCACAGUGAGAAACCGGACGAUGACUUUGGAGCACGGCCUAAUAAGCACCUGGCGUUUGCCUCUCUUUUCGGCAUUGUUGAUGCUCUUGAGAGCAUCAGCCAGGACAUUCAUGCGCACCAUUGUGGCUGUUAGGGGAGACAAAAUAGGAGGCUUUACUGGCAUUGCUGACAACACUCAACAACCAUUACACGGCAGAAGCAUCAUUUUCUUUCUGGCCCCACCUUGGCGAAGUUGUCUUAAGUCUAAGCAGGCUGCUUCGCCAUUUCCCACCACCCAGGAAAAUUCCUAUUUACUACGGUUAUUGAAAACAAGUUAUCGGGAUGUCAGCCUGCACAUUUUAAAACUCAUUCAUUCGCUAACCACUCUUCUUCGAAUCGUGCCACACCACCGUAUGGAGGUAAUAAAAUGUGGGACAAAAUCCACCUCACACAAGAAAACAUCAGAAUUGGUGGAAACUGCCAGCACCAAAACGAAAACAUUGGAUAUACUCAACCGGUGAUUCAGAACAGAAGCAGAACGUCACCGGCAACAUUUUUCAAAUUGCGGAAAAUCCGCAGAUUCUGUACUAUUAACAUUGUCCUUUAAAUCAGUUCACUCUGGCCGGGCGCGGUGGCUCACGCCUAUAAUCCCAGCACUUUGGGAGGCCGAGGCGGGUGGAUCACGAGGUCAAGAAAUCGAGACCAUCCUAGUCAACAAAGUGAAACACCGUCUCUACUAAAAAUACAAAAAUUAGCUGGGCAUGGUGGCGAGCGCCUGUAGUCCCAGCUACUCGGGAGGCUGAGGCAGGAGAAUUGCUUGAACCCCGGAGGCGGAGGUUGCGGUGAGCCGAGAUCGCGCCAUUGCACUCCAGCCUGGGUAACAAGAGCGAAACUCUGUCUCAAAAUAAAAAAAAUAAAUAAGUUCACUUUUCACCUACCACGAAGACAUCUAUUAAACUUAACAUCCAUCUUUGUGCCAUUUAAAAUUGCGUCUAAUAGCAAGAGCCACAGUGGCAAAUAGAAACAUUGUACAUGCUGUCAGACUGGACACUUCUAAUGGGCACGAAACGCACAAUACACUAAAGUUUUGAAAGCUCUUAAGUAUGGAGACCAAAGUGCCAACAGUAAAGAAAACUUCAGUCUCUCCCCUUAAGUUCCACAAAGUGUCUAAAGAAAAACUCCGCGGCCCAGAAGCUCCAAGUUAGCACCCAGCAAACCACCAACCACGGCACGAUGCAGCUUUUACCUGUUAGGUGACCUCAACCUCCCAAGCUCCAAGCGCGGCGGCGGCGGCAAUGAGAAACUGCACCGCCCACCAAACCCGAUGCUGCCCGACACUAAACGAAGUGUGGGCCCAAGCGCUGCCUCAGACACUAAACGAAGAUCCAGGCGCUGUGGCCGGAGCCGCAGCUACCGCCUAACUGGGCAGUCCAAGGCUCCGGCUCCCGCCAGCGCUGAGGCCUGAACCCGACGGACCCGGAUCCCCGGAGUGCACAGCCUGGGACGCCCGGGCAUGGCUAUCCUCUAUGCCUGUCCAAGAACCCGCAAGGCCAGCAUCCUCUGCCAAGGAGGGGUCCAGCCUCCCCGCAGGACACCGAGAGCGAACCUUAUAUUGCGGGAUGGCACAGAUGACAGACGGAUGAAAUUGGAGCUCUCAGAAAGGGAUACUCACCGGCACCGAAAGAUGGCGGAAAGAGGACGGGAGGGGAGAGUGCACGGAGUUAUGGGAAGCAGGAGAGCUAUCGCGAGACUUUCAAAGGACCGGCAAAAACAAGGACCGCCUAAAAGGAGGAGGGCUAGGCGGAGCCUCCUCAGGGGUUGGCAGUCGAGAGUCGAUGGAAUCAACCUCCCCCGGUGCGGCCUCGAAGAGGCAAGGUGAGCCGUUCUUUGGAGGUUUGCCUACUUUUUAUUUUCAUUUUGUUUUUGAUACGGAGUCUCGCUUUGUCGCCCAGACUGGAGUGCAGCCUAGAAGUUCGAGAUCAGCCUGGGUAACAUAGGGAGACCCUGUCGUUUUGUUUUUUAAAGUUAUCCAGGUCCAAGUUUUCUAGAACCUACUUUGGCCAAUAAUUCAGAACUUAGAUGCAGUAUCUUUUGAGACUGAACCUUUAUUUUUUGAAAAACAUAUUUCAUACAAUCUUUGCCAUGUUAAUGCAAAUAUGCACAAAGUAGGCAUGUAUUUUUGUUUUCCAACAGAUGAAUUAUGAACAUUUUCAGGAAGCUGGUAUGAUUUAUUCAACUUUUAAAUACAACCACAAAAUUAUAUCCAUCAGGAGGUAUUACAUACAACCUUUUGUACAGAGAAGCCACUACUUAUACAAUGUUACUAGGACAAGGAAGAUUCAGUUCUACUUUUUCUUUUUUAUACCGAGUCUCCCUCUGUCGCCCAGGCUGGAGUGCAGUGGCGCGAUCUCAGCGCACUGCAGCCUUCACCUCCCUGGUUCAAGUGAUUCUCCUGCCACAGCCUCCCAAGUAGCUGAGAUGACAGCCAUCACACCAGGCUAAUCUACGUAUUUUUAAUAGAGAUGGGUUUUCACCGUGUUGGCCAGGCUGGUCUUGAACCUCUGACCUCAAGUGAUCCGCCCACUCCGGCCUCCCAAAGUGCUGGAAUUAUAGACGUGAGCCACCACACCCAGCUAAAAAAAAAUUUUUAUUAAAAAAUAAUUAAAUCUCAGACAUAAGUCACCCAACAGUUGCUUACUGAGCACCCAAGUACCAGCACUGAGCAAGGCCCUGGAGUACAAGGUACCUGUACAGGGACCAUCUAGCCAGUUCUGUCCCCUGCUCGUUCUUCUAGCUUCAUUCUCUCUCACACAUCAUCGUUGGCCCUUGAUUGCAUUUCCUCUUCCCUCUAGCAUGGUGCCUGGAUAUUUGCUAAAUAAGUAAACUUAAACCUUUUAUUUCUGUUCUUUAAAUUUUUCAUAGACUCCUGCUCUGUUGCCCAGGCUGGAGUGCAGGAGUGCACUCAUACUUCAAUGUAACCUCAAAUUCACGGACUCCAGUGAAUCUUCCACUGAGGUCUCCCGAAGUGGUGGGAUUACAGGUGUAGCCAACGAGCUCUGAAAGAGUACCUUAAAGACGUGUAAGGACCACACAGGGUACUUCACUAGUCAGAUUCAUAAAUCCAAUCAUGUAAAUAUUAUAUUGGCUAAGAUAUAAAAAAAAAAAGUGAGACAUGAAGAGUCUGGCUGUUUUUAUUUUUUCCCCCUUUUACACAAAACCGAGUAGAAGAAAUAAUACAGGAUUAAAACUGCAAAAGUAGUUAAUCAGUAGAACAUGUAUACACAAAAAAAUCCAGAUAGGAAGACAGGCU